rnacentral:rRNA from 1 species
UUAUGCGUUGUUGGGUAGGGGAGCGUUCUGUAAGCCUGCGAAGGUGGCCUGUGAGGGUUGCUGGAGGUAUCAGAAGUGCGAAUGCUGACAUAAGUAACGAUAAAGCGGGUGAAAAGCCCGCUCGCCGGAAGACCAAGGGUUCCUGUCCAACGUUAAUCGGGGCAGGGUGAGUCGACCCCUAAGGCGAGGCCGAAAGGCGUAGUCGAUGGGAAACGGGUUAAUAUUCCCGUACUUGGUGUUACUGCGAAGGGGGGACGGAGAAGGCUAUGUUGGCCGGGCGACGGUUGUCCCGGUUUAAGCGUGUAGGUGUGUGUUCCAGGUAAAUCCGGUUCACUUUAACACUGAGGCGUGACGACGAGGCACUACGGUGCUGAAGCAACAAAUGCCCUGCUUCCAGGAAAAGCCUCUAAGCAUCAGGUAACAUCAAAUCGUACCCCAAACCGACACAGGUGGUCAGGUAGAGAAUACCAAGGCGCUUGAGAGAACUCGGGUGAAGGAACUAGGCAAAAUGGUGCCGUAACUUCGGGAGAAGGCACGCUGACACGUAGGUGAAGUGAUUUACUCAUGGAGCUGAAGUCAGUCGAAGAUACCAGCUGGCUGCAACUGUUUAUUAAAAACACAGCACUGUGCAAACACGAAAGUGGACGUAUACGGUGUGACGCCUGCCCGGUGCCGGAAGGUUAAUUGAUGGGGUCAGCGCAAGCGAAGCUCCUGAUCGAAGCCCCGGUAAACGGCGGCCGUAACUAUAACGGUCCUAAGGUAGCGAAAUUCCUUGUCGGGUAAGUUCCGACCUGCACGAAUGGCGUAAUGAUGGCCAGGCUGUCUCCACCCGAGACUCAGUGAAAUUGAACUCGCUGUGAAGAUGCAGUGUACCCGCGGCAAGACGGAAAGACCCCGUGAACCUUUACUAUAGCUUGACACUGAACAUUGAGCCUUGAUGUGUAGGAUAGGUGGGAGGCUUUGAAGCGUGGACGCCAGUCUGC